GGUGAACGCUGGCGGCGCGCCUAACACAUGCAAGUCGAACGGUUAAAGCACCUUUUAGGUGUGUAUAAAGUGGCGAACGGCUGAGUAACACGUGGGCAACCUGCCCUCCUCUUGGGGAUAGCCUCGGGAAACCGAGGAUAAUACCCGAUACUUCAAUGUGGCCGCAUGACGACAUUGAGAAAGCUUUUGCGGAGAAGGAUGGGCCCGCGGCCUGUUAGCUUGUUGGUGGGGUAGAGGCCUACCAAGGCAAUGAUGGGUAGCUGGGUUGAGAGACCGACCAGCCAGAUUGGGACUGAGACACGGCCCAGACUCCUACGGGAGGCAGCAGUGGGGAAUCUUGCACAAUGGGCGAAAGCCUGAUGCAGCGACGCCGCGGGCGGGACGAAGGCCUUCGGGUUGUAAACCGCUUUCAGCAGGGACGAGGCGAUAAGUGACGGUACCUGCAGAAGAAGCCCCGGCUAACUACGUG
rnacentral:rRNA from 1 species